UACAGAGGGUGCAAGCGUUAAUCGGAAUUACUGGGCGUAAAGGGUGCGUAGGUGGUUUGUUAAGUCAGGUGUGAAACCUCCAGGCUCAACCUGGAGACGCCACCCGAUACUGCUGUGACUAGAGUCCAGUAGGGGAGCGUGGAAUUCCUGGUGUAGCGGUGAAAUGCGCAGAUAUCAGGAGGAACACCAGUGGCGAAGGCGGCGCUCUGGGCUGGCACUGACACUGAGGAGCGAAAGCGUGGGGAGCGAACAGG
rnacentral:rRNA from 1 species